UACAGAGGGUGCAAGCGUUGUCCGGAUUUAUUGGGCGUAAAGCGAGCGCAGGCGGUUUGAUAAGUCAGAAGUAAAAGGCUGUGGCUCAACCAUAGUACGCUUUUGAAACUGUCAAACUUGAGUGCAGAAGGGGGGAGUGGAAUUCCAUGUGUAGCGGUGAAAUGCGUAGAUAUAUGGAGGAACACCGGUGGCGAAAGCGGCUCUCUGGCUUGUAACUGACGCUGAGGCUCGAAAGCGUGGGGAGCAAACAGG
rnacentral:rRNA from 1 species